rnacentral:rRNA from 1 species
GAUGAACGCUGGCGGCGUGCCUAAUACAUGCAAGUCGAGCGAACAGACGAGGAGCUUGCUCCUCUGACGUUAGCGGCGGACGGGUGAGUAACACGUGGAUAACCUACCUAUAAGACUGGGAUAACUUCGGGAAACCGGAGCUAAUACCGGAUAAUAUAUUGAACCGCAUGGUUCAAUAGUGAAAGACGGUUUUGCUGUCACUUAUAGAUGGAUCCGCGCCGCAUUAGCUAGUUGGUAAGGUAACGGCUUACCAAGGCAACGAUGCGUAGCCGACCUGAGAGGGUGAUCGGCCACACUGGAACUGAGACACGGUCCAGACUCCUACGGGAGGCAGCAGUAGGGAAUCUUCCGCAAUGGGCGAAAGCCUGACGGAGCAACGCCGCGUGAGUGAUGAAGGUCUUCGGAUCGUAAAACUCUGUUAUUAGGGAAGAACAAAUGUGUAAGAAACUAUGCACGUCUUGACGGUACCUAAUCAGAAAGCCACGGCUAACCACGUG